rnacentral:rRNA from 1 species
AACGAACGCUGGCGGCAUGCCUAACACAUGCAAGUCGAACGAUGCCUUCGGUCAUAGUGGCGCACGGGUGCGUAACGCGUGGGAAUCUGCCUUUCGGUUCGGAAUAACUCAGGGAAACUUGCGCUAAUACCGGAUAACGUCGCAAGACCAAAGAUUUAUCACCGAAAGAUGAGCCCGCGUAGGAUUAGCUAGUUGGUGAGGUAAAGGCUCACCAAGGCGACGAUCCUUAGCUGGUCUGAGAGGAUGAUCAGCCACACUGGGACUGAGACACGGCCCAGACUCCUACGGGAGGCAGCAGUGGGGAAUAUUGGACAAUGGGCGAAAGCCUGAUCCAGCAAUGCCGCGUGAGUGAUGAAGGCCUUAGGGUUGUAAAGCUCUUUUACCCGGGAAGAUAAUGACGGUACCGGGAGAAUAAGCCCCGGCUAACUCCGUG